ACUUGCAGGAGAUCCCUGUGUACCUGAGGCCUUCUGAAAAGUUCAUAGGAUUCCUGAAGACCCUAAAGCCAACAGAAAAGCGGAGUUUCACUCCCAGUCCCUCAUAUGUGAGAUGCCAGGGCUGCAUGAUGAGAGGGCACUGUGACUCAUUACUCCUGGGAGCUGCACAGCACGGGGAGCUGGCGACACAUCUUGCAAUAGGCGUAGUCCUAAUGCCUGUUUUGCUUACGUUCAGCACAUGGAAUGGCUGCAAGGGCAGGUUCUGCAGCGCUCAGAUCAGGAGUUCAUUGUUCAUAAAAGACGUGGAGUGAAUGGAUCUGUAACUCAGGGAGCUGUAAUGGUCAGGACUGUUUGCUGUCUGCUGCAAUGCAAAGCCCUGUGGUUAGCUCUGAUUUCCAGGCACAGCAACGUCUUCAUGUUUUCCAGUUACAUAUGCUCAGACACCCUGAUGUGUUGGAGACCUAAAUGGGAGAAGAACGAUUCCAAUCACUUUGAACAAAGCAGAAAAAUGUGAUUUGCUGACUGGUUUGCUUCAUCCCAGGAAGAGAUCUGAGAUGUAUUCAGUCUUACUGCAAACGAGGCACUGUUGUUAAUGAGAGAUUUAAUUUCAAAUAGUCCAACACCUGCAGAAAUGUCUGUAAGCAGCCACUGAUUU